CGAGUGGCGGACGGGUGAGGAAUACAUCGGAAUCUACUCUGUCGUGGGGGGAUAACGUAGGGAAACUUACGCUAAUACCGCAUACGACCUACGGGUGAAAGCAGGGGAUCUUCGGACCUUGCGCGAUUGAAUGAGCCGAUGUCGGAUUAGCUAGUUGGCGGGGUAAAGGCCCACCAAGGCGACGAUCCGUAGCUGGUCUGAGAGGAUGAUCAGCCACACUGGAACUGAGACACGGUCCAGACUCCUACGGGAGGCAGCAGGU
rnacentral:rRNA from 1 species